CGCGGGCGUCAGUGGGCGGGGCGGGGCCACGGCGGUUCCUCUCCCCGGCUCACGAGGGCGCUGUGUGCGCACCUGAGCGGCGUGUAGCCUCCUGUUGCUUUGCACUUUGCACCCGGGUGGAAGGGUUGCAAGCUCAGCCAGUUUUAGAUGUAAGCAUCACUGGUUCUGGGCCAAAUCGAGAAAUUGAAAUAGAGAACAAAUAUUUAUCAACCACCAUGCCAGACCUUUUGUAUAUUUUAAUUUUUUAUAGGCAAGUGACAAAAGGGGCCGUGUUCCAGAGCACGUGCAGGUAUUAGAACAGAAGUUAAAGUUGCCUUAACUGUUGAGUCCUUGCCUUCCCCAUUUCUUUUAGGCUUCUUUACAGGUCUGCGGCCCCUGGGCUUUUUGAGACCCCAAGUGAAAUCUCCCUCAAAGGUUUUCUCUUAUCUGCAUGAGCGAGCUUUGGGACGUGGAGGGGCUUGCCUAAAUGCCUGUUACCCCAAACCGCUGUUUGGAAUGGCUGAUAAGCAUAUUCAUUACUGAAUGGCUUAUUUUUUUCUUGUCCUUUUUUAAAAAAUGGAAUUUUCAGUUAUACACAAAAAUAGGAUCAUAUUUUGGAACCCCACUACCCAUCAUCCAGCUUAACAGUUACCAAUAGCUAUUAUUUUUCUUCACUUAAACCUUCCUAUCCCCUGCCCCAUUAUUUUAAGGCAGACAUCUGAUUAAUUCAUUUGUUAUACUUCAGUGUCUAUUUAUUUUUUUGAAUUAUUUUUAUUAGUUUUUGAUGAACUGUUUUAUUUAUUUGUUUGUAUGUGAUGCUGAGAAUUGAAACCAGUGCCUCACACAUGCUAGGAUUGAACCCAGGACCUAGUGCAUGCCAAGCAUGUCCCCUGCCUCUGAGCUGUGAACAAACUUAAAGAACCUGUGAUGCGUAACCACCUGCUGGAAAUGAAAUCUCCAGACCAAUGUUAAUUAACCUUCCAUUGUAUGCCGGACCCAUUCACAUCUCCUCCUGUAGAAAGAUCUAAGUUGCUUCUGACAGCUCUGGGCCAAGUGCGGCUUGAAGCUUGAUUCUCUGGCAGACAUCCACAGUGAAAGCAGAUGGAGCUAUUUAAAGCGCAAAACUGACCCUCCACCUCCACCUGAAGCUGAGGGUGCCCUUGGAAUGGAGCUCAAAUUCUUUCCUGAGGCUCACCACGCCUGCUGCUUCUGACCCUCUGCUACCUACCUACCUUUCUUUCUUCUUCUUUUUUUGUGGUGCUGGGGAUUGAAGCCAGGGCCUGGUUAUGCGAGGCAAGCGCUCCACCAACUGAGCCACAUCCCCAGCCCCUCCUGUCUGUACUUUCUGUACUUUUCGUUUUUUCUUUCUUUCUCUUGGUCAUGUGCAUUUUCAGUUUCCACAUCUGAAGAAUGCCCACGUCUGCAUAUUUGUGCCCUUGUGCAGUCCCUUCUGGGAUGUGGCCGGGUCUCAGUGGCUUGCUUCUAAGGAUAGAAUAAAGUCAAGAUUGACAGGAUGUUGCUUUGUCGGGUGGGGAGGUUACAGAAAGGCUCUGGUUUCUGUCUUGCUUCCUACUGGCUUGUUCUAAGAGAAGCCAACUGCCCUGUCAACGGCCCUAGGGAGAACAAAGGACCAAGUCAUCUCAGCAACAGCUCAUAAGGAACCGAACCUGCCGACAACAUGUGAGCUGCCCUUGAAGUAGAUUCACCCCGAGUCGAGUCUUCGGAGGAGACACAGCCCGGCCUGCCACCUUCAUUGCUGUCUUGUAAGGGACCUUGAGCCACAGGACCUGGCUAGCCCCCAAUCCUGGCCAGCAGAAGCCGAGAGCAUACAUGAUCCUGGACCUAAGCUACUAAAUUUGGGGUUAAUUCAUUACACAGAAAUAGAUAACUAAUGCAACCAU